UUAUCUCUGUAGAGUCUGCAUAUCAAUAAGCGGAGGAAAAGAAACUAACAAGGAUUCCCUUAGUAACGGCGAGUGAAGCGGGAAGAGCUCAAAUUUGAAAUCUUCAAGGUUCUACCUUGACGAAUCGUAGUUUAAAGAAGUGUUUUCUGUUAGAUGAGUAGCAAAAGUUCCUUGGAAUGGGACAUCAUAGAGGGUGAGAAUCCCGUAUUUGGUUAUUCAUUCUAGCUUUGUGAUACACUUUCAAAGAGUCGGAUUGUUUGGGAAUGCAGUCCAAAAUGGGUGGUAAAUUUCAUCUAAAGCUAAAUAUUGGCGAGAGACCGAUAGCGAACAAGUACCGUGAGGGAAAGAUGAAAAGAACUUUGAAAAGAGAGUUAAACAGUACGUGAAAUUGUCAAAAGGGAAGCGUUUGACACCAGUGUUGUUUUUCCGAAAAUCAAUUACGAAUGGCUUGAUUUUGUGUUGUAUUGACCUUAUCAGCUUUCUUCACUUUUUUCGAGUCUUUCUUAAUGCACUUUUCGGUUAACAAGUCAACAUCAAUUUCUUUUGUUGUAAAAGAGUAUUCGGAAGGUGGCUUUCUUUUCGGAGAAAGUGUUUAUAGCCCUAUACUUCUACAAUCGGAGAGAUUGAGGUCUGCAGCGUAGAUCCUUCGGAGUUAGAUACACUUGUGCUAAGUUGUAGCUUUUCAUAGACAACUUGUUGACUAUGUUUAGUCAUGCGGCUUACUCGCUUGUGCUAUUUUACCUACGCUUAGGAUGUUGAACUACUGAGACAUAGA
rnacentral:rRNA from 1 species